AGAAAGUGUUUUAUGUGUUUAUACUUCUCCUUGCUGUGCAGCUUCCAUUUUCUGGCACAUCUGAGCAGCUCUCAAGGACAUCUUUUCUCCCAAAUUGUCAGGCAGGAGCAGGGGGAGGCCAGAACAGCCCUGAAGAUCUCACACCUAAGGCACCCUCAUUUAACCCCAGUGUUGACAGGAAUAAAGUUGUCUUUGUGUUUUGCUCUCCUGUUCUCACCCCUUUUCCUCUGCCUUGUCUCUCUGCAGGGUGCUCCAGGAGAAGCUGGCAUGUCUAUCAUCGGGCCCCGCGGUCCACCCGGACAGCCUGGAACAAGAGGUUUUCCUGGAUUCCCGGGCCCUAUUGGCUUGGAUGGCAAACCGGGCCAUCCUGGACAGAAGGGAGAGAUGGUAAAAACACAUAUAUUUGUCUGUGGGUGAUGAGUUAGUUUGCAAUGAUGUGCCUCAGCUGGAAACAAGCUCAUGGGCAGGGUAGCAAUCUUAGCUCAGCUGAUGCACUAGCUGCAUCCCUAAUUCUGUAACUGCAUAAUAGCAGUGCUGGGAUGCAUGCCUGUAAUUUUUGCAUUAUGGCUAUCACAUUCAUCAUGUCACAGCAGCAACUCUCUAGUUAGGCAUGGGAUGUGUUUUCCUUGCAGUUAGCAAUUAUGUUCUUUAAAUAUAUUCUGGGAGCUGACAUUUUUCGUGGUUGGCCUCAUAGGACAAGUAAAAGUUGAUGGAAAGAUUUCUGAAAACCCAUCUGGCAGCUUUCAACUUAUCUAACAACAACCACAAAAAGCAUAUUUUUUGGAUUAAAUGUGGUUCCCCCACACCCCCUUGAAGCUCUGUUUCAUAUGUGCAUCAUACAAAAACGCUUUGGGUUGAAAAUGAUAAACUUAGACUGCACUUUAUGGAAGCCCAGUGCUGUCUUGUUCCUCUUGACAUCUCUGAUGAUGAAAUCCCAAAUAUGAGUAUGUCAAGAGAGAGGCUCUGUAGGCACCUUCCUUCACUAAAGUGUUGAAUGCUUUCUUCUGCUAAUUCUGUAAUUCUGUUUUUUGGGCCUGAGUGUCAGUGUAGCCCUCUGGCAAGCACAUGUUGAAGAUCCCCACUCCCCUGUUGCUCAAUCCUAGCUCAGCCUUCAGUCCUGGCUGCUUCUGGUUCCAUCCCAGCGCUGUCAGCUGAGGUCCUGGGAACAAUAAGGGUGUGUUUUCCUGAUGAUUUUUCCCCCUCUCCUUUUAAUAUUUCUCCCCCGUGGUGCAGCCAGAGCAUGU
rnacentral:lncRNA from 1 species